rnacentral:rRNA from 1 species
CAUGCAAGUCGAGCGAAGCGAUUUAGCGGAAAUUUUCGGAUGGAAGUUAAAUUGACUGAGCGGCGGACGGGUGAGUAACGCGUGGGUAACCUGCCUCAUACAGGGGGAUAACAGUUAGAAAUGACUGCUAAUACCGCAUAAGCGCACAGCAUCGCAUGAUGCAGUGUGAAAAACUCCGGUGGUAUGAGAUGGACCCGCGUCUGAUUAGCUAGUUGGUGAGGUAAAGGCCCACCAAGGCGACGAUCAGUAGCCGACCUGAGAGGGUGAUCGGCCACAUUGGGACUGAGACACGGCCCAAACUCCUACGGGAGGCAGCAGUGGGGAAUAUUGCACAAUGGGGGAAACCCUGAUGCAGCAACGCCGCGUGAGUGAAGAAGUAUUUCGGUAUGUAAAGCUCUAUCAGCAGGGAAGAAAAUGACGGUACCUGACUAAGAAGCCCCGGCUAACUACGUGCCAGCAGCCGCGGUAAUACGUAGGGGGCAAGCGUUAUCCGGAUUUACUGGGUGUAAAGGGAGCGUAGACGGCGAAGCAAGUCUGAAGUGAAAGCCCGGGGCUUAACCCCGGGACUGCUUUGGAAACUGUUUUGCUAGAGUGCUGGAGAGGUAAGUGGAAUUCCUAGUGUAGCGGUGAAAUGCGUAGAUAUUAGGAGGAACACCAGUGGCGAAGGCGGCUUACUGGACAGUAACUGACGUUGAGGCUCGAAAGCGUGGGGAGCAAACAGGAUUAGAUACCCUG